rnacentral:lncRNA from 10 species
CUUCUUGGCGCGCGUCGCCGCAGAGCCCACCCAGGCGGGAUAGAGCUUAUGGAUUGGCUAAUGCCGCAGCAACUCCCGCCUGCCUGAGCUGUUCCCGGAGGUCCGCAAGCCCCCAGCCCUCCCAUGCGGAAGAGUCUGGCUGGUGCAGAGGGCUCAACUUUUCCCUAGGCUCUGGACCCAAAGGCCUUCCACGUCCUUUGGAACCUGCUUACUUCCUUUAUUCCCUCGCAGUCUGGCUCCUUCCUCCAUCCUGGGUGACCAGUGGGUGCCGACAUUGACAUUCAUAUAAGAACACGGAGGAGGUGCAGGUGGGAGGAGAUGGGCUCAGUUUUAGCCAACUUAAAAUAGAGUCUGCAGAGCCCGUGGGACACAGGGGAGGUAUUUGGGGACCCAGAGUUGGGGAACUGUGGGUAGAUAUGGGAGUUGAAGACACUGACAGCAAAGGGUGCAACUACAGUUCACCUAGCAUAGAACCCUAUGUGACCGUUAAAAAGAAUGAGGCUCAGUGAAGUGAACUCAUAGGGAAACCUGCCCACAACAAAUUAGACGCAGGAUGCAGUAGAAGGCUAAGAGAAGUCUGGAGCCAGACUUGGGUUUAAAGCCUGGGACUGACACUUGCUAUGCGACCUUGAACUGAUUACUUAACGUUACUCUGUACUUCGGUUUCCCAAUCUGCAAAGCGGGGAUAAGCAAUUACAUCCUUCUGUUUGAUGUGAACAUUAAAUAAAUUAAUCCACAUAAAGCACUCAAGCCAGGCUCGGUGGCUCACACCUGUAAUCCCAGCACUUUGGAAGGCCGAGGUGGGUGGAUAACCUGAAGUCAGGAGUUCGAGACCAGCCUGGCCAACAUGGUGAAACCCUGUCUUUACUAAAAAUACAAAAAUUAGCCAGGCGUGAUAGUGGGCACCUUUAAUUCCAGCUACUCGGGUGGUUGAGACAGGAGAAUUACUUGAACCUGGAAGGCGGAGGUUGCAGUGAGCCGAGAUCGCACCACUGCACUCCAGCGUAGGUGACAGAGCGAGACUCCAUCUCAAAAAACAAAAAAAGUUUAAGUUUUAAUAGAACAUUUUUUACAAGUAUUAGCAUAAUAUUAAAAAGAUACUUUUUAUAAAGAUAAUUUUAGACAUGGGCAGUUACAAAAACAGUAGGGUUUUCAUGUACCCUUCACCCAAACUUCCCUAAUAUUAGCGUCUUAAAUAAACAAUAGAACAGAAUUCUCAACCAGUAGCGAUUUUGUUUCCCAAGGGACAUUUGGCAACAUCUUGAUACAUUUUUGGUUGUUACAACACCUUCAGACAUUUUGGAACAGGAGAUACUACUGGCUACUGGCAUUUAGUAUUAGAUGCCAAGGAUGCUGCUAACAUCCUUCAAGGCACAGCCCCCACCAAAAGAAUUAUCCAAUCCAAGGGCUGAGUGUGGUGGCUCACACCUGUAAUCCAGGGCUUUGGGAGCCCAAGGCAGGAGGAUCGCUUGAGCCCAGAGUUGGGGACCAGCCUGGGCAACAUGGCAAGACCCUAUCUCUACAAAAAUAAUUCACUGGGUGUGGUGGCACGUGCCUGUAAUCCCAGCUACUUGGGAGGCUGAGGUGGGAGGAUCUCUUGAGUCUAGGAGUUAAGAGGCUGCAAUUAGCCAUAAUCUUGCCACAGCACUCUAGCCUGGGUGACAGAGGGAGACUCUGUCUCAAAAAAUAAAUAAAUAAAUAAAAAUAAAAGGCUGGGUGCGGUGGCUCACGCCUGUAAUCCCACCACUUUGGGAGGCCAAGGUGGGUGGAUCAAGAGGUCAGGAGUUCAAGACCAGCCUGGCCAAGAUGGUGAAAACCCAUCUCUACUAAAAAUACGAAAAUUAGGUGUGGUGGCGGGCGCAUGUAAUCCCAGCUACUCGGGAGGCUGAGGCGGAGAAUUGCUUGAACCCCUGGAGUGGAGCUUUCAGUGAGCCAAGAUCGUGCCACUGCACUCCAGCCUGUCUCAAAAAAAAAAAAAAAAAAAAAAAAUCCAACCCAAAAAAGUCAACAAUGCCAAAGCUUAGAAACCCUGCUAUAAUAUAAUUAUCAACACUAAGAAACCAAUAUCAAUAUAAUACUAUUAACUAAACCACAAAUUCCCCCCAAUCCUGUUUUCCCACUAGUGUUUUUAUGUUCCAGGAUGGGUGCUCACUGUUCCUGGAGUGUCACUGUUUCUGGUCCCUCUAAGUGGAUAGAGCAAGGAAAUAUACAUAUGUAUACACACAUCUAUAUGUAUCAAUAUAUCUGUUAAACGAAAACCAUGAAUUCAGACUGAUGCCUCCAAAUCCAGUCCUACAAGGUUCAUUUUAAGCAUUCCCAUCUCCUGUUUUAUUUGUAACUUCCUUCUCCACAGUGAGACACCCAGCUCUCAUUAUCUACAAGUUUACUUAUUUGUUCAACCCUGUUUGUGUGUAUUACAUGGGCCCAUGUGCCCACACCCACACACACAAAAGUAGUUUCAAAAUUGCUAAAUCAUGGCUGGCCCAACGGCUCACACCUAUAAUCCCAGCACCUUGGGAGGCUGAGGCGGGCGGAUCACUUGAGCUCAGGUGUUUGAGACCAGCCUGGCCAACAUGGUGAAACCUUGUCUCUGCUGGAAAUACAAAAAAUUAGCCAGGUGUGGUGGCUCGUGCCUGUAGUCCCAGCUACUUGGGAGGCUGAGGCAGGAGAAUCGCUUGAACCCGGGAGGCAGAGGUUGCAGUGAGCCGAGAUUGCACCAUUGCACUCUAGCCUGGGCAAAAAGAGCAAAACUCCAUCUCAAAAAAUAAUAAUAAAAAAUAAUAAUUAAAAAAAAGCACAGAAAAGCAAACUAUGGAAUGUCAUAUAAAUAUUACGGGACAUAUAAUUAUCCCCGUAUGAUAAAAACUCUAGGUUAUUCCAGAAAGUUUCUAGAGUCACUCAAAUGUAUUAAUGCCCACCACUGGUGGGAGGAGUGGUAUAAGAAAUAAGAAAUUCAGGGCCGGGCGCAGUGGCUGACACCUGUAAUCCCAGCAAUUUGGGAAGCUGAGGUGAACGGAUCAUGAAGUCAGGAAAUCAAGACCAUCAUGGGUAACAUGGUGAAACCCUGUCUCUACUAAAAAAAAUUAGCUGGGUGUGGUGGCAUGCACCUGUAAUUCCAGCUACUCAGGAGGCUGAGGCAAAAAAAUCACAUGAACCCAGGAGGCGGGGUUUACAGUGAGCUGAGAUCAUGCCAUUGCACUCCAGCCUGGGCAACAAGUGUGAAACUCCAUCUCAAAAAAAAAAUUUUUUUAAUUUAAAAAAUAAAACAGGACAGGAGCAAGGUUGACACAAAGAACUGUGGCCAGGGGAACAGAGGGACAGUUGGUCUCCUGUCUACUCACACCUAGAGGAAGAAUACAGCAAAUAACAUUAUGUGCCAGGCAUCCUGCUAUUCUAAUUGCGUGGUCUCAUUGAGAUGUGGGUGCCACUGUAGUGCUCAUUUUUAGAGGAUGAAACUGAGGGUCGCAGAGGCUGAAAUCCCACUGCUAAGGAUCAAUCAAAAUUCAAAUCUAGUCGGUCUGACUCUUGAGGCUGGGAUCAUGUAGCCACACUUAUAGUGCCACACUGCCUCACUGUCUACUAUCACGUUUUGUCUUGAAAAGAAGUGCUAGGGCCAGGCAUGAUGGCUUGUGCCUAUAAUCUCAGUACUUUGGGAGGCCAAGGCUGGAGGAUCACCUGAGGUCAGGAGUUCAAGACUAUUUUGGGCAACAUAGGGGAGACCCUGUCUGUACAAAAAAUUUCAAAAUGCCAGACGCGGUGGCUCACGCCUGUAAUCCCAGCACUUUGGGAGGCCGAGGAGGGUGGACCACUUGAGGUCAGCAGUUUGAGACCAGCCUGGCCAACAUGGUGAAACCCCAUCU